UUAAUAGCUAGUAGGAGAGAUACCAUCACCACAAAGGUGGUUUUACCAGAGCAAGGCUUAGGCAAUGAACUCCAGAUGUGUUGACCCCUGCAAUUACUUCAAAUAAUAGAAACUUGAUUGAGUAAUUUGUGCUAAUAUGGUGCUGUGUUCACAAUCUUC